CACAAACAUUUUUGAUCUUUGGUUAUAUGAUGUUGAUUUCUUCCCCUCCCCAUCUCACCUCCUGGGCCCUGGAAGAUGAAGUUUCCUUUAAAAUGCUGAUGUCUAUGUCAGUUAAAGCAAUGUUGCCUGAGAGCUGUGACUGCAUCUCUGAGCUUGGCCCUGAGAAGGAAUGGAGACAUCCGCACUGCCAGAUGCAGCCAGCUGUGCACCCCACAGGAGGAACACAUUUCAUUGAGCCGGGGCUUUGGCGAUGACGGGCUCAUCCGACGGCGGAUGCGGUGUCGGCGUCGGGAUCCUGGGAGGCUUUCCUGGGCAGGCUGUCAUCGCCCCGGAGCACCGAGCAGCUCCUCACAGCACGGGAUGGGUUGCAGCAGCCUAACAAGAACACAUCGCUCUCAGGGCUGCAACCAAUAUACGAGUCCAUUGGCAGCAGAUGUUAUUUGACGCCAAUACAUAUUUUCUUAUUAAUCUUCCAUACUAGGUCGUGUCUAUCUGCAAAUGAUUAUCAUUCAUUUUCCUGACAAAUCUAUCAAGAUCAUUUAUUACCGUUCGGCAAAGGAUCUUCUUUUAAACAAAGAUUAAUAACAUUGCAUUUUAUCUGGCUGGCUGAGCCAAAGGAAAUGAAAUUAACAAUGAACCCUACAAACAUGUCAUCACUUUAAUUUACCGGAAAAUAUUUUAAAAUGUUAUUUAAAACAGUAUACGCUGUGGUGGGCACAGUUUAUUACAAAGGAAAGAAGUGAAACCACAUGCAUUUUAGCAGGGUGGAGAGUAAACAAACAGGGCACUAUGUUUUCUCUGGUUCCUCGCACUCGAGUUCUGGGCCAAGGAAGGAGCAGCACCCACAGGCUUCCUGCCAUGCACAGAUGGGCACCUGUGCCCGGGUGAAUUGGAAGUCACUGUUUCUUGGUUAAAGUGGCUCCUAACCAGGAUCACAAGCUCUCAUCCCUGCAGGGAACACUGCCCUCCCUGCGUUCCUAAAAAGGGGAACUUCACCAGGGUGAAGCUGGUGAGGAGAGGAGGGCACAUGUGGGCUGACAGAGUACCAGCACCCUUCUGCAUCUUUGGUCCCUUAGGAGGAAAAGAAACAAACUCAUUAAAUUUACCUGUUUUAGUUACCUUUCUUCUGCACCCUCUUCUUACUGUCCCUUCCCUUCAUUUGAGCAAAAUAGUAAUAAUAACAAUAACAAUAACAAUAACAAUAAUAAUAAUAAUAAUAAUAAUACCAAAGUACCUAUCAGAAUCCCUUUCCUACUUUUACUGUAAAUAGUAAUGCAAAAAUUUCAUAUCAGCUUUGCUUUUGCAUUACUUUAUUUAUACCUAUGAACCUAUAUUCUGAGCCCUGUUUUUGUGCAGAUAUUCACCACUGUCUCUCCACAGGCCUUUUCCCAUAUGCCUGGCUCUGGGCUGUGUCACCUCUGGCAAUGGGAAAUUACUCCUCUUUCCUGCUGUGGGAGAAGGCUGCUUAAAACAAUUUCGAAUUAUGUAGCCAAGAAGUGUUUCUCCUAGAGGUAAGAAAGUCAACUUCCUACCUUCAUUGGACUCAUUUUAUCUUACCCAGAUACCAGGUUGGGAGCAGUGUUUUUAAACCCCAGACAAAGGAAAAUAACCCUGCUAACCUCACACUGGAGAAGUUUCAAAAUGCUGACAUACCAGCAAGAGGAUUUCCAAGUGUGCAUUUGUGUAUUUCUGCAGAGCAGCAAAAGCACAUGUACUAAACUGGCUGGUUUAACCACAUAUUUCAUUGCUACAUAACAAAGUAUCCUGGAUUUCUUUUGUAAUUAAAAAGUCAUCAGUGUAGCACAGGUCUUGAAAAAUUAAUGACAAAUAAGACAAACCUGAAUAUACCCCAAAGCAGGGUUUGGCUCCUCUGCAGAUUAAAAGGAACUGAGUUAAUAAGAGAAGAAGGAUGCCCCUCUGUUAAAACUGGAGCUGUAUCUCCAGUGACUUUGGGGACACUCUGUAGUUUGAUUUGAGAGCUCAGGCUGCACACCAAAGCAGAACCAGACUCCAAACUUCUAAAAGGUCUAAUCUGCUACUUUUACCUGGCAUUUACUGGUAGAAUUUGUGAUGUUUGACUGAGCAAUAACCAGUGCACGUUGCACUGUUUAUUUCUUUAUUAUGUUACCGUUCAGCCACCUUUUUAGUCAUUGUAAAUCCUGGCACAAAGACUGCAAGCUAAGAAGAAAUGAGUUUCUGGCUAAGGUGUCCUAAAAGCUAAAUACUCAUUACAUGAAAGAAAAAAGGAUCUGCACCUUACUUCUGGUGUGACUGCAUUCUGCUCCAGCUUUCAGCUGCUGGAUUUCAUCAAGCCCCUUCUGUUCAUGAAGCACUUGUCUGUUAUGAACUUAACACCACAUAAAUAAAAAUCACAGACAGUGCAUGCAGAGAAAUAGGGCUUUAUAAUCAUGGAAAGGCAAAAUGGGGAUAAAGCCAAAAGGAAGUGGCAAAGGAUAAAAUGGAGUGAAUGCAAAAACCAAAUUCAAGCCUCUCCUCUCACAGUCCUCUACAUACAUUUAAUGAGGUACAUUUUAUUUUCCUCAUUUCAGACUAAUGCCAGCAUAAUGUGGAGGUCCCAUCCAACCUCCAGGAUCCCCAAAGUCAGGAUGAACAUUCUUCUUUUAUUUUCCUUGAAGAGUAAGAGCAAUAUACAUGUGCUGUGAGGGCAACACAAGGAGCAAGACAUGAAAGUGUAUUUUUUUUCAGCACAAGAUAUAAUGUGGGUGUCACAGCAAUUUGAGAUUUCUGUACACCUCCUCUGAAGCAGCUGAACAUUGAGUGAAAGAAGCCAAUUGCUGAGCUUCCUGCCCCGACACUGUGUGCUGUGGUGGCACCUGGGCACUCUUCGGAGUCUGGUCAGGUCUGAAGUCCUAACGGGUAGCAGGGAGGACUGUAGACAUCCAAUGGCUCUGAUUCCUGAUCUGGAUCCCAUAUCAUACCUGAAGCCACCUUCAUGCCUUCCCGCCCUUUGUCUCAGAAGCAAUUUCCAACACUCCUGUGUGUCCCUCUCCAUCACACAGCACAGGGGGGAUUUGAUUAAGCACGUGCAUCUGGCCACAGGCAGGCAUCGGGUAUCCGUGUGCCAUUCCAGCACAGCCCAAGAUUCCCUCAGCAAAAGCGGGAAUACCAUGCAGUGCAGUAUUACAGAUCAGCUGUCCAAGCGGACCAGAUGGCACCACCAUGCCAAGGACAACAAACAGUAUUAAGUUGUCAGACUCUGAACCAAAGUCAGCCUGAGCUGCCGAGUUCGGCCAUUUCUAGUGCACAAUUCCAGAAUAGCUGUCCCCAAAAGACACCGCAGAAGGCUCUUGGAGUAGGACACUUGAACAACUCUCUGUGGGCCACAGGGUGUCCCCCGAGGAAGCCCCAGUGCCACAAGAGCUGGGCUGACAGCACUUGGGAUUUUGUACUGGGAUGGGGAUCACCAGGACGAUUCCCCUGCCACUCUCUGGUUUAGACAAACCCAGCCAGGCUUCAUUUCUGAUUGUGUGUGGGAAGGACCCGGUAACCAUUUUAAGAAACCUGUAAUUAUUGCUGCAUUUGUUCAAAAACAGGAACAACUGUUCAGAACGUUCAGCUGUGACUCGCUCCUGUAGUUCCACAAUGCAGCAUUCAGUUUAAUAUGUGAGACUCAUAACCAGCUCACACAGUGCAAUAGUUCACUUCAGUUUGAAGAAAAAAAAUUCUGCUGGAAGCACAGGCAAGUAGCAGUGUCAAUUUUUUCAUUAACCUACAGCCACUGUCUCUGUAGACUUACAGCUAUAAGUAAGAUUACUGUUAUAAUUCUUCGGUUCCUAAGGGGGGGGGGGACAAAAAACUUCUCAAAACUGUUAAGGUCAUUAAAAAAAAUCCACCUUUAAAUUGGAAGGUAGUUUCAGUUUACUUUCAUAUUUCAAAAUCAAAUCUUAGCUUUCAGCCUCACAUCAAAGCAGAAAUGUCAGUCGCUUUGUUUCUACAUCUCCUGUGAAAGAAGUUCCAGCUUAUACAUGAGCCUGAAUGCCAAGUAAAUAGAUUUUUCCUUGGGAACAAAGAGCACCUUUUUUUUUUUUUUUUUGGUUUUGUUUAAACAGAUGUAAAUAGAGUCCCAGAAGCUGAAGCUGCCUGUCACUUCAACCAGGUUUACACUCGUGUCACUCCAGCUGGUUAUUUCUGACCGCCCUUAGGUCAGGACUGCAGAAGUUUCCCUCCCCCUCCUCCACACAGUCAUCUCCAGCAGCCACUCAUGCCCUUUCCUUCCAGUCCCACAACCUCAGCAAAAGGAAAACACAUUAAUAUGGAUUCCUUUUUUGCUAGUCUUUAUUCUUUCGGGUUUGUUUGUGUUUUUUUGGUUUUUGUUUUUAAACUCUAGUUACAGAAUCUCAGAAAUACUUUGGCCCUGUGAAUACUUUGGGCCUCUGUCACAGACACCGAGAUGGUUCUGAGAUCUCUUGGCAGAGCAGAGCAGGUACCUGGAUACACCAGUGACCAGUUGGGGCUGUGCCUACACACCAGGCAUUUAUUAAAGACUGAUGGCACCUAUUGGUUCAUGGUACAAGAUUAUGGGGGCAGGGAAGCAACAGGAAUGGAUUGGCAGAAAAAUGACUUUUUUGUUGUUUUGGUUUUGUUUUACAGAGGGCACCAUCAGCCUUCGAGAUUUCUCUUUUCAGUACCAGGCAUUUAAAGAGUGCAGAGUUAUUUUCCCCAAAGCCAGAGGACACCAAAGAGGAGUAUGAUCCCUUCACAUGCCCAUCUUCUAUUUACAAAGAGAAGAAUGGAGCUGAGCUGAGCUGCAUUACAUCCAAUAUGCUGCCUACACAAAUGCCAGAGAAGCUAAAUGAACCCCAGAACAUAUGGCACUCUGCUGACAGAGCUCCGAAACUGGUUCUGCAUGAGCAACAAGGAACAUCUUGAAACGCACAAGACAUAUGUGUUUUAGGAAGAAGAUUGAAGUGUUUCAUAAUAAAACAGGACAAAGUGAAAUACAAGUGCUGUAUAAAAUUUUAAUUAAAAACUGGUUUUACCCUCAACGUGAAUAUACAAUAUGUUUCCCAGAUGGAUUUCAUAUUUAAGUAUUAUC